rnacentral:rRNA from 1 species
AGCGAUAAAACGGGUGAAAAACCCGUUCGCCGGAAGCCCAAGGGUUCCUGUCCAAGGAUCAUCCGGGCAGGGUUAGUCGGCCCCUAAGACGAAGCAGAAAUGCGUAGCCGAUGGGAGACGGGUUAAUAUUCCCGUACCACUGACACAGAGCAGAGCGGGGACGGAGAAGGCUAGGGUAGCCACCUGAUGGAUGGUGGUUCAAUCCAGUAGGCUGUCUGCUUAGGAAUAAAACGAGCGGAUAAGGCCGAGAGGGUACGUUGAAGAGACCUCGGUCUCGAAGUACCUGAUGCCAUGCUUCCAAGAAAAGCCGCGGGCUGCGAUGAAGUGUUGGUGACCGUACCGCAAACCGACUCAGGUGGGCAGGUGGAGAACACCGAGGCGCUAGGGAGAACACUGGUUAAGGAACUAGGCAAAUUAAUACCGUAACUUCGGGAUAAGGUAUGCCAGUUAGGUGAAGGGCCUGCGCCUGGAGCCAAGACUGGUCACAGCAAAGCGGCGGUAGCGACUGUUUACCAAAAACACAGGUCUCUGCAAAGUCGUAAGACGAUGUAUAGGGGCUGACGCCUGCCCGGUGCCGGAAGGUUAAGAGGAGCUGUCAGCGCAAGCAAGGCAGCGAAUUGAAGCCCCGGUAAACGGCGGCCGUAACUAUAACGGUCCUAAGGUAGCGAAAUUCCUUGUCGGGUAAGUUCCGACCUGCACGAAAGGCGUAACGACUUCCGCGCUGUCUCAACCAGUGGCCCUGCGAAAUUGACGUUGGGGUGAGGAUGCCCCAUACCCGCAGAAAGACGGAAAGACCCUGUGAACCUUUACUCUAGCUUGGCAGUGACAUUCGACAUUAUCUGUGUAGCAUAGGUGGGAGGCGUUGAGUUCGGCGCGCUAGCGUCGAAGGAGCCACCGUUGAAAUACCACCCUGAUGAUGUUGGCUGUCUAACUUCGAAAGAAGGACACUGCCUGGUGGGGAGUUUGACUGGGGCGGUCGCCUCCCAAACAGUAACGGAGGCGCGCGAUGGUUCUCUCAGCCUGAUCGGAAACCAGGCGUAGAGUGCAAAGGCAUAAGAGAGCUUGACUGCGAGACGGACACGUCGAGCAGGUUCGAAAGAAGGCCUUAGUGAUCCGGCGGUCCCAAAUGGAAGGGCCGUCGCUCAACGGAUAAAAGGUACUCCGGGGAUAACAGGCUUAUCACGCCCAAGAGUUCACAUCGACGGCGUGGUUUGGCACCUCGAUGUCGGCUCGUCGCAUCCUGGGGCUGGAGCAGGUCCCAAGGGUUUGGCUGUUCGCCAAUUAAAGCGGCACGCGAGCUGGGUUCAAAACGUCGUGAGACAGUUUGGUCCCUAUCUUCUGUGGGCGUUGGAGAGUUGAGAGGAUCUGUCCUUAGUACGAGAGGACCGGGAUGGACACACCUCUGGUGUUCCGGUUGUCGCGCCAGCGGCACUGCCGGGUAGCUAAGUGUGGACGGGAUAACCGCCGAAAGCAUCUAAGUGGGAAACCCCCCUCAAGAUUAGCUCUCCCCAAAGGACCCAGGUAGACUACCUGGUCGAUAGGCAGGACGUGUAAUCGCAGCAAUGCGUUCAGCGAACCUGUACUAAUUGUCCGUUCGGCUUGUUC